UUUCAUAGAGAAGUAUUUGAAGAGGAUUCAGUCAUUAAAUUGUUCCUGUGACGAUCGAUGGGAAAAUUGCAUCAUUGUGUUGUUGAGGAGUGAAUAUAUGGACAUGGUCAGGUUUUUUUUCUUUGGUGUUUUUGAUUGAAGACUGAUUCACAUUGAUGGCGAGCCAACCUAUUCGGACACUAGAAAAGGAAACUGGAAAUCCACCCUACUGAACCAGGAGAGUACUUUAAUACUUAUUAUUUUUUUCAGCUCAAGGUAAAAGACAGUUUUUUUCCGUUUCUGGAUAGAGACUGUUCGUGGUUUUUUUUUCUGAGAACUGAUUAAAAAAAGGAAACAAAAAAAAAAAACUAAUACCAGCGCACGGACACUUGGAAAUCAAACUAUUUUCCUUUUGAAGUGAAAUGAGAAAUACUGAGUUUGUUGAUUCUGAACAAGUGGUUUUCUUUACAUUUUCAAUGUAAUUUCAAUUGAACUUUAUUUUGUUUUAUUGUGUUUUGAUUGUUUAUCGUAUUUUGUUAAUUUUAUUUUGGGGAAAGAUCUGCAGAAAAUUAUAUCUAUAAACAUUUCAAAUACUUACCUA